rnacentral:rRNA from 1 species
UACGAAGGGGGCUAGCGUUGCUCGGAAUUACUGGGCGUAAAGGGAGCGUAGGCGGAUAGUUUAGUCAGAGGUGAAAGCCCAGGGCUCAACCCUGGAAUUGCCUUUGAUACUGGCUAUCUUGAGUGUGGGAGAGGUUAGCGGAACUCCGAGUGUAGAGGUGAAAUUCGUAGAUAUUCGCAAGAACACCGGUGGCGAAGGCGGCCAACUGGACCAUUACUGACGCUGAGGCGCGAAAGCGUGGGGAGCAAACAGG